UGGGGAAUUUUGGACAAUGGGGGAAACCCUGAUCCAGCCAUCCCGCGUGUGCGAUGAAGGCCUUCGGGUUGUAAAGCACUUUUGGCAGGAAAGAAACGUCGCGGGUUAAUACCCCGCGAAACUGACGGUACCUGCAGAAUAAGCACCGGCUAACUACGUGCCAGCAGCCGCGGUAAUACGUAGGGUGCAAGCGUUAAUCGGAAUUACUGGGCGUAAAGCGUGCGCAGGCGGUUCGGAAAGAAAGAUGUGAAAUCCCAGAGCUUAACUUUGGAACUGCAUUUUUAACUACCGGGCUAGAGUGUGUCAGAGGGAGGUGGAAUUCCGCGUGUAGCAGUGAAAUGCGUAGAUAUGCGGAGGAACACCGAUGGCGAAGGCAGCCUCCUGGGAUAACACUGACGCUCAUGCACGAAAGCGUGGGGAGCAAACAGGAUUAGAUACCCUGGUAGUCCACGCCCUAAACGAUGUCAACUAGCUGUUGGGGGCCUUCGGGCCUUGGUAGCGCAGCUAACGCGUGAAGUUGACCGCCUGGGGAGUACGGUCGCAAGAUUAAAACUCAAAUGAAUUGACGGGGGUCAUAGCU
rnacentral:rRNA from 1 species